rfam:Schistosoma curassoni strain Dakar, Senegal genome assembly, scaffold: SCTD_scaffold0010168
AUCCAUCUGACGAAUUCUAAAUAGGACUAAACGCUCGUCCUGGAC